UGGGGAAUAUUGGACAAUGGGCGCAAGCCUGAUCCAGCCAUGCCGCGUGGGUGAAGAAGGCCUUCGGGUUGUAAAGCCCUUUUGUCCGGAAAGAAAAGCUUCGGGUUAAUACCCCGGGGUCCUGACGGUACCGGAAGAAUAAGCACCGGCUAACUUCGUGCCAGCAGCCGCGGUAAUACGAAGGGUGCAAGCGUUACUCGGAAUUACUGGGCGUAAAGCGUGCGUAGGUGGUCUGUUAAGUCUGAUGUGAAAGCCCUGGGCUCAACCUGGGAAUUGCAUUGGAUACUGGCAGGCUAGAGUGCGGUAGAGGGUAGUGGAAUUCCCGGUGUAGCAGUGAAAUGCGUAGAGAUCGGGAGGAACACCAGUGGCGAAGGCGACUACCUGGACCAGCACUGACACUGAGGCACGAAAGCGUGGGGAGCAAACA
rnacentral:rRNA from 1 species